rnacentral:rRNA from 1 species
CCUACGGGAGGCAGCAGUGGAGAAUAUUGGACAAUGGGGGCAACCCUGAUCCAGCAAUGCCGCGUGUGUGAAGAAGGCCUGCGGGUUGUAAAGCACUUUCGGUGGGGACAAAAAGCGUUGCACUAACACUGCAAUGUUUGAUUUAACCCAUAGAAGAAGCACCGGCUAACUCUGUGCCAGCAGCCGCGGUAAU